rnacentral:miRNA from 14 species
GCUACGGUCUGUUUGUACGUACAGUCUGUCUGUACCUACAGUCUGUCUCUACCUACGGUCUGUCUGUAUGUACAGACAGACUGUACGUACAGACAGACUGUACGUACGGUCUGUC